AACGUAGGGGGCCAGCGUUGCUCGGAAUUACUGGGCGUAAAGGGUCUGUAGGCGGUGUGGCAAGUUGGAAGUGAAAUUUCAGGGCUUAACCCUGAAACUGCUUCCAAAACUGCCGUGCUCGAGUGCGAGAGAGGCGAGUGGAAUUGCAGGUGUAGCGGUGAAAUGCGUAGAUAUCUGCAGGAACAUCCGAGGCGAAAGCGGCUCGCUGGAUCGCAACUGACGCUGAGAGACGAAAGCUAGGGGAGCAAACAGG
rnacentral:rRNA from 1 species